GACGAACGCUGGCGGCGUGCCUAAUACAUGCAAGUCGAACGCACUCUCGUUUAGAUUGAAGGAGUUUGCUCCUGAUUGAUAAACAUUUGAGUGAGUGGCGGACGGGUGAGUAACACGUGGGUAACCUGCCCUAAAGUGGGGGAUAACAUUUGGAAACAGAUGCUAAUACCGCAUAAAACCUAACACCGCAUGGUGUAGGGUUGAAAGAUGGUUUCGGCUAUCACUUUAGGAUGGACCCGCGGUGCAUUAGUUAGUUGGUGAGGUAAAGGCUCACCAAGACCGUGAUGCAUAGCCGACCUGAGAGGGUAAUCGGCCACACUGGGACUGAGACACGGCCCAGACUCCUACGGGAGGCAGCAGUAGGGAAUCUUCCACAAUGGACGAAAGUCUGAUGGAGCAACGCCGCGUGAGUGAAGAAGGUUUUCGGAUCGUAAAACUCUGUUGUUGGAGAAGAAUGUAUCUGAUAGUAACUGAUCAGGUAGUGACGGUAUCCAACCAGAAAGCCACGGCUAAC
rnacentral:rRNA from 1 species